rnacentral:rRNA from 1 species
UUUCCGUAGGUGAACCUGCGGAAGGAUCAUUACCUAGAGUUGUAGGCUUUGCCUGCUAUCUCUUACCCAUGUCUUUUGAGUACCUUACGUUUCCUCGGCGGGUCCGCCCGCCGAUUGGACAAUUUAAACCAUUUGCAGUUGCAAUCAGCGUCUGAAAAAACUUAAUAGUUACAACUUUCAACAACGGAUCUCUUGGUUCUGGCAUCGAUGAAGAACGCAGCGAAAUGCGAUAAGUAGUGUGAAUUGCAGAAUUCAGUGAAUCAUCGAAUCUUUGAACGCACAUUGCGCCCCUUGGUAUUCCAUGGGGCAUGCCUGUUCGAGCGUCAUUUGUACCUUCAAGCUCUGCUUGGUGUUGGGUGUUUGUCUCGCCUCUGCGUGUAGACUCGCCUCAAAACAAUUGGCAGCCGGCGUAUUGAUUUCGGAGCGCAGUACAUCUCGCGCUUUGCACUCAUAACGACGACGUCCAAAAGUACAUUUUUACACUCUUGACCUCGGAUCAGGUAGGGAUACCCGCUGAACUUAAGCAUAUCAAUAAGCGG